rnacentral:lncRNA from 1 species
GAAAAAACAUAGUUUCGGAUUGACUUAAUUCACCAUUUUUGCAUUUGAGGUAAGUUCAUAUUUAAUAAACAUUAUUAUAUUUGUGUUUUAAAUACUUUGAUAUCGCAUAAAUUGUGAGUACGACUCUAUAGACAUGUUCGACGAUGAUUAGGCAAGUGAUAAAUCUCAAUUGAACCUUCGAAAUAGAUUAGGAUACGAAAUGACAUGUCAUUAGGGGUUAUGUGAUUUGGGUGCUAGUCUAUACGUCCUACCGGUGGUUGAGUUAUCUGGCAUGUGUUGCAGAUACUCGUCAGCUUGUGUGAGUAGCACCGUGUAGCUCCGUCAUGACCGUCAGCUUUUUUG